AACGCGAAGAACCUUACCAAGGCUUGACAUAUACGAGAACGCUGUAGAGAUACAGAACUCUUUGGACACUCGUAUACAGGUGGUGCAUGGUUGUCGUCAGCUCGUGUCGUGAGAUGUUCGGUUAAGUCCGGCAACGAGCGCAACCCUCGUCCUAUGUUGCCAGCACGUUAUGGUGGGAACUCAUGGGAUACUGCCGUGGUCAACACGGAGGAAGGUGGGGAUGACGUCAAAUCAUCAUGCCCCUUAUGUCUUGGGCUUCACGCAUGCUACAAUGGCCGAUACAAAGGGCUGCGAUACCGCGAGGUGGAGCGAAUCCCAAAAAGUCGGUCUCAGUUCGGAUUGGGGUCUGCAACUCGACCCCAUGAAGUCGGAGUCGCUAGUAAUCGCAGAUCAGCAACGCUGCGGUGAAUACGUUCCCGGGCCUUGUACACACCGCGCAUA
rnacentral:rRNA from 1 species